GACGAACGCUGGCGGCGUGCUUAACACAUGCAAGUCGAACGGAAAGGCCCUGCUUUUGUGGGGUGCUCGAGUGGCGAACGGGUGAGUAACACGUGAGUAACCUGCCCUUGACUUUGGGAUAACUUCAGGAAACUGGGGCUAAUACCGGAUAGGAGCUCCUGCUGCAUGGUGGGGGUUGGAAAGUUUCGGCGGGUGGGGAUGGACUCGCGGCUUAUCCGCUUGUUGGUGUGGUAGUGGCUUACCAAGGCUUUGACGGGUAGCCGGCCUGAGAGGGUGACCGGCCACAUUGGGACUGAGAUACGGCCCAGACUCCUACGGGAGGCAGCAGUGGGGAAUAUUGCACAAUGGGCGGAAGCCUGAUGCAGCAACGCCGCGUGCGGGAUGACGGCCUUCGGGUUGUAAACCGCUUUCGCCUGUGACGAAGCGUGAGUGACGGUAAUGGGUAAAGAAGCACCGGCUAACUACGUG
rnacentral:rRNA from 1 species